GCCCGGGUGGCGGAAUUGGUAGACGCGUACGACUCAAAAUCGUAUGGACUUCACGUUCAUGAGAGUUCGAUUCUCUCCCCGGGCA
rfam:Candidatus Buchananbacteria bacterium RIFCSPHIGHO2_02_FTLL_38_8 rifcsphigho2_02_scaffold_20932, whole genome shotgun sequence.